rnacentral:rRNA from 1 species
AACAGGAUUAGAUACCCUGGUAGUCCAUGCCGUAAACGAUGAGUGCUAGGUGUUGGAGGGUUUCCGCCCUUCAGUGCCGCAGCUAACGCAUUAAGCACUCCGCCUGGGGAGUACGACCGCAAGGUUGAAACCCAAAGGAAUUGACGGGGGCCCGCACAAGCGGUGGAGCAUGUGGUUUAAUUCGAAGCUACGCGAAGAACCUUACCAGGUCUUGACAUCUUGCGCUAACCUAAGAGAUUAGGCGUUCCCUUCGGGGACGCAAUGACAGGUGGUGCAUGGUCGUCGUCAGCUCGUGUCGUGAGAUGUUGGGUUAAGUCCCGCAACGAGCGCAACCCUUGUUACUAGUUGCCAGCAUUCAGUUGGGCACUCUAGUGAGACUGCCGGUGACAAACCGGAGGAAGGUGGGGACGACGUCAGAUCAUCAUGCCCCUUAUGACCUGGGCUACACACGUGCUACAAUGGCCGGUACAACGAGCAGCUAACCCGCGAGGGUGUGCAAAUCUCUUAAAGCCGGCCUCAGUUCGGACUGCAGUCUGCAACCCGACUGCACGAAGUCGGAAUCGCUAGUAAUCGCGGAUCAGCAUGCCGCGGUGAAUACGUUCCCGGGCCUUGUACACACCGCCCGUCACACCAUGGAAGCUUGCAAUGCCCAAAGUCAGUGGCCUAACCAUUUUGGAGGGAGCUGCCUAAGGCAGGGCAGAUGACUGGGGUGAAGUCGUAACAAGGUAACC